UCGGGUUGUAAAGCACUUUUGUUCGGGAAGAAAACUUCUGGGUUAAUACCCUGGGAGGAUGACGGUACCGGAAGAAUAAGCACCGGCUAACUACGUGCCAGCAGCCGCGGUAAUACGUAGGGUGCGAGCGUUAAUCGGAAUUACUGGGCGUAAAGCGUGCGCAGGCGGUUCGUUAAGACAGAUGUGAAAUCCCCGGGCUUAACCUGGGAACUGCAUUUGUGACUGGCAAGCUAGAGUAUGGCAGAGGGGGGUAGAAUUUCCACGUGUAGCAGUGAAAUGCGUAGAGAUGUGGAGGAAUACCGAUGGCGAAGGCAGCCCCUGGGCCAAUACUGACGCUCAUGCACGAAAGCGUGGGGAGCAAACAGGAUUAGAUACCCUGGUAGUCCACGCCCUAAACGAUGUCAACUAGUUGUUGGGGAUUCAUUUCCUUAGUAACGUAGCUAACGCGUGAAGUUGACCGCCUGGGGAGUACGGUCGCAAGAUUAAAACUCAAAGGAAUUGACGGGGACCCGCACAAGCGGUGGAUGAUGUGGAUUAAUUCGAUGCAACGCGAAAAACCUUACCUACCCUUGACAUGUACGGAACCCUGCUG
rnacentral:rRNA from 1 species